UGUCCGUCAUCACUCUCACUGCUCUGAUUCAGCCGUCACAGCGGGGAUUUGUAAAUUUCUGUUCUCGGAUUGAAGCUGCCAGAGAGAAAAACAGGAAGUGUGCAGAGUGAUCUCGGCCAGCCGACUUGUAUCAGAGCCUGCGGGCCGUCUCCUGCAGCCCGCCUCGCUCCGCACAAACACACCAGCACUUCCUCAUUCUUCACAUUUCCGCCCCAAAGCCAACGAACGGCAAAUAUUUGUUUUUAUCUUGAACAGGAAAGAGCCUGAGCGCAGCCCAAACGCUACUGCUGCUGCUGCUGCUGGAAAUGUGUGAUCAUAUUUUACCUCACCUCACCCUUUCACAAGAAAUUCACUAGAAAUGAGUAACUUGGAGCGAGACACAACAGUGAGGCAGAGCACUAUGAGAGGAUAAAGACAUUGUCCUGAAGAUGGCGCCGGAGAAAACACCACACCGUCAUGUCCAGUCGUCAUGUUCCCUCAUCAGACUGACAUGAGGGCUGUUGUAUGUUCCUGGACUUCGCGCCCUUCAUCAUCUCCUCCUCCUCCUCCUCCUGCAGUCAGGACUCCAUGUAUGGUCUGAGGGGAAACAGCUCAAACCUCCAGCCACCAAAAAGCCUCCAGCAGGGAGUGACUGUGCUUCCCCGGAGUCUCAGAGGGCGAGUCCUUUAUUUUUAGAAGGAAGGAGGGCGUGUUUGUGUGUGUGUGUUUUUCCCUCUCUGUGAGGACGACCUGACAGUGAUAGAUGGGUCCUCAUGUCUCUUCAUGUUUGUCGGAGCCUCACUUUUAAAUGUGGCUCUGCAUUCAUGUGACGGCUGAAGUUGUUGUUUGUAGAUUCAGGUUUUUAUAUUAAAUAUUAUUAACCACUAACAUUAUCUUUACUUUCUUUUUCUAUCUUUCUCUCUUCUUAUCAGUCUGAUCUGUUUGUCUGCUUUAGAUUUUUUUUUUCUUUUCCUCUUACUUUUUUCAAUUCGUAAGAAGGGAAAUUCCCAUAAUUGGAGAUAUAACUUUUCCUGCUACGAGUAACAAUGGUGUAAUGUAGCACAUUAGAGGUUUUCCUCUGACAGUAACAACAGAGCCAUUCAGACAUUUUACUCGAUCUCUCUGAUCAUACCUACACUGAAGUAAAGUUUUCACUGAGGUGAAAGUUCUGAGUACUUCCUUCUUGCAGCAGAUGAAGUAAACACGUUCCUGUAAAGCAAAACAAAAACUACACGACUCUCACUGUCAGAACUCCUGGUUCUGCAAAAGUAUCAAAAGAAAGUGUUCAGAAAUCAGUUUUUAUGAUCAAACAGACCUGGGUUCUGUUGUGAGUGAAGUUGGUUUCAGAUAAACAUGUUAAAUAAACUUUGUGAAACGUC